rnacentral:lncRNA from 1 species
UCAAACUCCUGACCUCAAGUGAUUCAGCCGCCUCGCCUCCCAAAGUGCUGGGAUUACAGGUGUGAGGCACCACAUCCGACCUCUGCUCUUCCUCAAAGGCCACCAAAUCAUGCCAGCUAACUGUGCAAAGAUGUUAGCCUGAUAGUCAAAGCUCUUCCCAGACUCUUAUAAACAUAGAAGAACAUAGCGGUUAAGAACAUGAGCUCUGCAGCAGGAUUACACGGAUUCCAAUCUCAGCUCAGCCACAUACUAGCUGUGUGAUGUUGGAUGAGAACAUUGAGGCCUAGGGCAUUUCAAUAGCUUGCCAAAGGGCUCAUCAUUCUCGGGUAACAGGAUGAGGCCAGACACCAAGGAUCCCUGGAUCCAUGCCCUACUCUCCACACUUGUCUUGGGUCUAUGAAGCCCCCAGUCCCAAGGUAAGUCAUGUCAUUGUGGAAAUUAAUUGCAACCUUUCAUGAUUGUCCGAUCCCAUCUAUGGGUUUCAAGGAAGAUUAUGAAGUCCUUAGAACCACAAUGUGUCUAAUUUUUAUUCUGUAUUUUAUUUAUUUUUAAAUGUCUGAGAUGCUGAGAACCUGAGAUAUCACUCAUCUCAUCUUCCUGAAUUUUAUGAACUAAGAAGCGAAAGCUCACCCAAAGCCAUUUAUAGAGUCUAUGGAAAAAGAAGGACUAGACCCUGGAUUCCGUGAUUUACAGGUUUUUCUUCUCCUAAUUUUCAAUCCACUCCAAAACAUGCAGAGAGAUGACCUUAGCAAAGAUGUUUAUUAGUGUACGUUGGUGCUGUUGUUUCGGGGAGGGGGUCGGAAGGUCUUGGAAUCACUUCCUACUGUGUAAUCUGCAAGCUUCCCACUGCGUCUUCCUCUUCCUCUUUGCUUUUUCCAGAGAUAUAAAGGGUGGCUGGUGCCAUUCUUCCAAAAGGAAAGCUGUCAUCUUUACUCACUCAGUCCUCAGCAAACUAUCUGAGCACUAUUUUUGUGCCUCAUCUGGGAGCUGGGGAGUCAGUGAUGGGCAAGAUAUGGUCUUUACUUGCAAAAUUCCCAUAGCACAUUGGAGAAGAAAAAACAGCAAUCAGGUAUGUGCGCUACAGGGGGGUGCAUGCUGCAACCACCAGCAUCAACAACAACAUGCAUUGAAUGCUUCAUGUAUAUCAAGUGCUCUCUCUCCUAAGAGAUAUGAAUGCAUUAACCCCAUUUACUCCUCAAGACUAGAAACAAACACUUUAUAAUUUGCUACGGACUGAAAAUUUGUGUCCCCCUAAAAUGUAUAUGUGGAAGUCUUAAUCCCCAAUGUGAUGAUAUUUGGAGGCGGGGCCUUGGGACAUAAUUGGGGUAGGGUGAGGUCAUGAGGGUGAAAACCCCAUACUGGGAUUGGUGCCCUUAGAAAGGUAUAAAGGGACUGGAGCAUGCAGUUUCUCUCUCUCUCUCUCUCUGUUUCUCUCUCUCUCUCUCUCCCUCCGCCGUAUGAGCACGCAGCAAGAAAGCGGCUGUGUGGCAACCAGGAAGACAGCCUUUAUCAGAAUCCAGCCAUAUUGGUGCCCUGAUCUCAGACUUUCCAGCCUCCAGAACUAUUUUAUUCCAGUAUCAGCCAACAACGUGAUCUGACAGGACAGUCCCAGCCCUAGGAAAUGAACUAUGAUUCGU